rnacentral:misc_RNA from 1 species
AAAUAUCAACUAAUGGCGGACUGGGAAGGAUAUCCACUCCACGAAUGCGUCUUUCACAACGAUAUCAGGAGAUUAUCACAGUUUCUGCGUGUAAAUGAUGUGUCACUUAAAGAUAUGCACGGUAUAAUUUUAUUUCUUUUCCCAUUAUUUCAGUUUUAUUGCCAGUUGUAUUCUUUUUAUGCACACCGGUGUGAAAAUCAUAAUGUCAACAUCACCCAUUUGUUUACUUUAUACGAUCCAAACUAUUUAUAUAACUCAUUCAAUGCGGGAAUGAAUUCAGGACACUUCUGAUAGUUCUUACUAUUGUACUUAAGCUUUGUAUAGAGUUAGUAUGUACAGCACUGAGGGUGACAUUCGAUCAACUGUCAAUUCCAACAUCAGUCUACAACCCCUUGAGAGGAUCACUGUCAAGGAAGCAAGAGUUUAACAAAGAACGAUCAUUUGACAUCUUAAUAAAAAAUCAACUUCUGUCAUUUCAAAUAAACAGUUUAUUCUUAUAAAAGUGUCUACCCUCUAUUAUUUCAUAUAGUCUAAUUGAUGACAAGGGUCAUAUUUUGAUUUUCCUGGUUCUAUAUUAGGCAGGCAUUAAAGCAGAAGUGAAUUUUAUUAAUGAGUUGUCUUCAAGCAUCAAAUCUUACUUCUUCCUCCAGAUCACUCAUUAACAUGUGAUGAAAAUUCAGUUGUAUUCAAUUAUUUUCCUUUCACUUCAUCACCUGGCUCUUCAAUAAUGUGGAUGGUACAUAUUAAUACGAUUAAUAAUGUAUUAUGCUUAUAUAUUGAGGCCAUUCCCUUGAAUGACGUCGAGAUAACAUAUCAUGUACAUGUUUUAUCUUAACAUUGUUCACAUUGAUUCAGCCCAUCAUAAAAGUCAAUUAAAUACCUCAUGUCCUGUAACAAUAACAGCUGUUUUUCUUUUAUUUUAUAGGGAAUACAGCCCUGCACCUGGCUGUUAUGCUUGGAAGAAAAGGUGGGUGGCAAUGCACUACAGACAGAUUAUAAAACUUUUAGAGUAACAAAUGGACAAACAUUGAAUGACAGAUUUUCACAUAAAACUAAAGAAGUAAAAAAACUGGGAGUCAUUGUCAAUACAGAUAAUUAUUAGUCAUUACUUUAAGCUUAUUGUAGAAUCUGAAUGAUAAUUUAUUGUGACACACACACCACUCAAGUUGUCUAAAUAGUUAAACUAUUUAUGCAAUUCCCCCCCCCCCCCCCCCCCC